AUGGCCUGGACUCCUCUGCUCCUGUUGCUCCUCUCUCACUACCCAGGUACCCUCUCCCAACCUGUGAUGACUCAGCCAUCCUCCCUCUCUGCAUCUCUUGGAACACCUGUCAGACUCUCCUGCACCCUGAGCGGAGGCUUAAGUGUUGGUAUCCAUAUUGUAUCCUGGUUCCAGCAGAAGGCUGGAAGCCCUCCCCAGUUCCUUCUGUACCACCACACACACUCAGAUGGAUAUGAGGGUUCCAUGGCCCCCAACCGCUUCUCUGGAUCCAAAGACACCAUGGCUAAUGCAGUUUUUCUGCACAUCUCUCAGCUUCAGUCAGAGGAUGAGGCUGAUUAUUACUGCAAUACAUGGGACGGCAACACGAGGACUGACACAGUGCUAUAG